rnacentral:rRNA from 1 species
CGCGCAGGCGGGUUUGUAAGUCAGAGGUGAAAUCCUACAGCUCAACUGUAGAACUGCCUCUGAUACUGCAGGCCUUGAGUUCGGAAGAGAGAGAUGGAAUUCCAGGUGUAGUGGUGAAAUACGUAGAUAUCUGGAAGAACACCAGUGGCGAAGGCGAUCUCUUGGUCCGUAACUGACGCUGAGGCGCGAAAGCGUGGGGAGCAAACA